UCCCUGGUAGUAUAUCGGCUACUACACGCGCUUGGCAUGGACCGGAAGUAUAAAGUCUCUAUCUAUAAACCACGCGAAAGCUGGGUUCAACUCCCAGCCAGGGUC